rnacentral:lncRNA from 1 species
UUUUGCCCCGACCUUUUACAGACGCUGUGGUGGGCGCCACAGGGUCUAUGGCGGGCGCCACAAGGCAAAAUCUGGCUGGGCCGGAUUUUGGUCCUUUGGCUUGGGCUUCUCUUGUCUUUUGGCUUUGAGGGGUCCGGAUAGCAUUUGUUUUGUGAUUUUCCUAGCAUCAUUGACUUGCAUAAUUUUAUAAAGGUAAAAACAAAAAAUAAAACUAAAACUGAAACAAAAACAAAAAUUAA